rnacentral:tRNA from 1 species
GGACUGUGGCUCAACGGUAGCGCACUUGCCUGGCAUGUGUGAGGCACUGGGUUCGAUUCUCAGCACCA